rnacentral:rRNA from 1 species
CCUACGGAGUGCAGCAGUGAGGAAUAUUGGUCAAUGGACGAGAGUCUGAACCAGCCAAGUAGCGUGAAGGAUGACUGCCCUAUGGGUUGUAAACUUCUUUUAUAAAGGAAUAAAACGAGGCACGUGUGCGUUUUUGCAUGUACUUUAUGAAUAAGGAUCGGCUAAAGCCGUGCCAGCAGCCGCGGUAAUACGGAGGAUCCGAGCGUUAUCCGGAUUUAUUGGGUUUAAAGGGAGCGUAGAUGGGUUGUUAAGUCAGUUGUGAAAGUUUGCGGCUCAACCGUAAAAUUGCAAUUGAUACUGGCAGUCUUGAGUACAGUUGAGGUAGGCGGAAUUCGUGGUGUAGCGGUGAAAUGCUUAGAUAUCACGAAGAACCCCGAUUGCGAAGGCAGCUUACUAAACUGUGACUGACAUUGAUGCUCGAAAGUGUGGGUAUCAAACAGGAUUAGAUACCCGUGUAGUC